CAGGAAGUAGUUUAAGUAGAAUGUCAGCUUUGGGUGCUGAUGGUGGGGGGUGGACCUUCCUUCCUGA
rnacentral:tRNA from 1 species